rnacentral:rRNA from 1 species
UACGGAGGGUGCAAGCGUUGUUCGGAAUCAUUGGGCGUAAAGCGCGCGCAGGCGGCCAUUUAAGUCUGAUGUGAAAGCCCGAGGCUCAACCUCGGAGGUGCAUUGGAAACUGGAUGGCUUGAGUCCAAGAGAGGUUAGUGGAAUUCGUGGUGUAGGGGUGAAAUCCGUAGAUAUCACGAGGAACACCAGUGGCGAAGGCGACUGACUGGAUUGGUACUGACGCUGAGGCGCGAAAGCGUGGGGAGCAAACAGG